rnacentral:lncRNA from 1 species
CAGGAUGAGACGGGACUGUGCUGCUGCUGAAGAAGAUGAGUCAGGUCUCAAGACCUCUCUAGCUGUGGCUAGGCAUCUGCUUGCUGAGUGAGAUAUAAUGUGGGGGUGUUCCAGUUGUCACAGUUGACAGCAAGGUCUGCAGGAGAGUGUGGGCAUAGCUGGGGCCACCGGGACAGAGGAGGCGAUUUCUGAGUGCUGUUACAAUUGGGAUUCUGAACAGAGAUCCCUGGUGGAUUUGCAUGUCAAACUGGAGAAAGACAUUUCAGAGGCAGAGAAAUACAAGGGAAGAGAAAGUUCUGGAAACUGUAGGAGAAACUGACCAGGUCACCCUGGUUGAACGUUUCUGCAAGCUUGCAAUCGACAUUCACCUUUGUACCUGGUGUGCUGGCUAAUUCUGAAGCCAAUUGAUUGGAUUCAGAGAUGCAUAUGAUGGUGAGGUAUACCACUGGGUGUGUCUAGAGGGCGUCUUUAGAGGAUGAGCUGAGAGG